rnacentral:rRNA from 1 species
GACGAACGCUGGCGGCGUGCUUAACACAUGCAAGUCGAACGAAAAGAGGGAAAGAGCUUGCUCUUUCCGGAAUUGAGUGGCAAACGGGUGAGUAACACGUAAACAACCUGCCUUCAGGAUGGGGACAACAGACGGAAACGACUGCUAAUACCGAAUAAGUUCCAAGAGCCGCAUGGCCCAUGGAAGAAAAGGUGGCCUCUACCUGUAAGCUAUCGCCUGAAGAGGGGUUUGCGUCUGAUUAGCUGGUUGGAGGGGUAACGGCCCACCAAGGCGACGAUCAGUAGCCGGGCUGAGAGGAUGAACGGCCACACUGGAACUGAGACACGGUCCAGACUCCUACGGGAGGCAGCAGUGGGGAAUCUUCCGCAAUGGGCGAAAGCCUGACGGAGCAACGCCGCGUGAGUGAUGACGGCCUUCGGGUUGUAAAACUCUGUGAUCCGGGACGAAAAGGCAGAGUGCGAAGAACAAACUGCAUUGACGGUACCGGAAAAGCAAGCCACGGCUAACUACGUG